UAAAUGGCCGUCGUAACGUGACUGUGCAAAGGUAGCAUAAUCAUUUGUUUAUUAAUUUUAAACUAGAAUGAAAGGAAUAAAGUAUAUUGACUGUUAAUUAAAAUCUAGCAUAAAUCUCUACCUAAGUGCAAAAACUUAGAAUAAAAAUACAAACGAGAAGACCCUGGGAAUUUUAAUAUUUUUAUUGGGACAAUAUAAAACUAUACUUCUAACUAACAAAUAACACUAACAAGAAAAAAUUACCCCAGGGAUAACAGCACAAUAAUCAUUGAGAGAUCUCAUCCAAAUGAUUGAUUAUGACCUCGAUGUUGAAUCAUUUGUAUAUAUAGUUUGCAGAAGAACUUUAUUUUCGUCUGUUCGACGAUGGAACAUUACGUGAUUUGAGUUUAAACCGUUGCGAGAUAGAAUGGAUUCUCUUU
rnacentral:rRNA from 1 species